UAGUGGUGAUAGCGGAGGGGAAACACCCGUUCCCAUCCCGAACACGGAAGUUAAGCCCUCCAGCGCCGAUGGUAGUUGGGGCCAGCGCCCCUGCAAGAGCAGGUCGCUGCUA
rnacentral:rRNA from 1 species